CGAGUGGCGGACGGGUGGGAGUAAUGCUUGGGAAUCUGGCUUAUGGAGGGGGAUAACGACGGGAAACUGUCGCUAAUACCGCGUAGUGUCGAGAGACGAAAGGGUGGGACUUUUAGCCACCUGCCAUAGGAUGAGCCCAAGUGGGAUUAGGUAGUUGGUGGGGUAAAGGUUCACCAAGCCUGCGAUCUCUAGCUGGUCUGAGAGGAUGACCAGCCACACUGGAACUGAGACACGGUCCAG
rnacentral:rRNA from 1 species